rnacentral:rRNA from 1 species
UACGUAGGGUGCGAGCGUUGUCCGGAAUUAUUGGGCGUAAAGGGCUCGUAGGCGGUCUGUCGCGUCGGGCGUGAAAACUCAGGGCUUAACCCUGAGCCUGCUUCCGAUACGGGCAGACUAGAGGUAUGCAGGGGAGAACGGAAUUCCUGGUGUAGCGGUGAAAUGCGCAGAUAUCAGGAGGAACACCGGUGGCGAAGGCGGUUCUCUGGGCAUUACCUGACGCUGAGGAGCGAAAGCGUGGGGAGCGAACAGG